rfam:Ovis aries breed Texel chromosome 7, whole genome shotgun sequence.
UCCCUGGUGGCUCAGGUGGUAAAGAAUCUGCUUGCAAUGCAGGAGAUCCAGCUUCAAUCCCUGGGUAGGGAA